GUGCCAUGAUGUUUUUGUCAACACAUCAUUCCUACCUCAGUGAGGACACAUUCUCCAUGGCUGAGCACA